rnacentral:rRNA from 1 species
UACGUAGGGGGCUAGCGUUGUCCGGAUUUAUUGGGCGUAAAGAGCGUGUAGGCGGCCGAGUAAGUCCGGUGUGAAAACUCGAGGCUUAACCUCGAGAUGUCAUCGGAAACUAUUCGGCUAGAGUCCGGAAGAGGAGAGUGGAAUUCCUGGUGUAGCGGUGAGAUGCGCAGAUAUCAGGAAGAACACCUAUGGCGAAAGCAGCUCUCUGGGACGGUACUGACGCUGAGACGCGAAAGCGUGGGGAGCGAACAGG